UACAGGGGGUGCAACCGUUGCUCGGAAUUAUUGGGCGUAAAGCGCACGUAGGCGGUUUGUUAUGUCGGAUGUGAAAGCCCUUGGCUCAACUGAGGAAGUGCAUCCGAAACUGGCAAGCUAGAGUAUGUAAGAGGGUCGCGGAAUUCCCGGUGUAGAGGUGAAAUUCGUAGAUAUCGGGAGGAACACCGGUGGCGAAGGCGGCGACCUGGGACAAUACUGACGCUGAGGUGCGAAAGCGUGGGUAGCAAACAGG
rnacentral:rRNA from 1 species